UCCCUGGUGGCUCAGUUGGUGGAGUAUCUGUCUGCAAUUCAGGGGACCCAGGUUUGUUUCCUGAUUUGGGAA
rfam:Ovis aries breed Texel chromosome 17, whole genome shotgun sequence.